AGCAAAAUGAUGAGGAACUAUUAGCUGAAAUUUUAUGUUGAAGAAACAUAUCAUAUGCCUUCAAAGUUCUCUGAUUGAU
rfam:Nicotiana attenuata strain TT scaffold02844, whole genome shotgun sequence.